GGUGACUGCGUACCUUUUGUAUAAUGGGUCAGCGACUUAUAUUCUGUAGCAAGGUUAACCGAAUAGGGGAGCCGAAGGGAAACCGAGUCUUAACUGGGCGUUAAGUUGCAGGGUAUAGACCCGAAACCCGGUGAUCUAGCCAUGGGCAGGUUGAAGGUUGGGUAACACUAACUGGAGGACCGAACCGACUAAUGUUGAAAAAUUAGCGGAUGACUUGUGGCUGGGGGUGAAAGGCCAAUCAAACCGGGAGAUAGCUGGUUCUCCCCGAAAGCUAUUUAGGUAGCGCCUCGUGAAUUCAUCUCCGGGGGUAGAGCACUGUUUCGGCAAGGGGGUCAUCCCGACUUACCAACCCGAUGCAAACUGCGAAUACCGGAGAAUGUUAUCACGGGAGACACACGGCGGGUGCUAACGUCCGUCGUGAAGAGGGAAACAACCCAGACCGCCAGCUAAGGUCCCAAAGUCAUGGUUAAGUGGGAAACGAUGUGGGAAGGCCCAGACAGCCAGGAUGUUGGCUUAGAAGCAGCCAUCAUUUAAAGAAAGCGUAAUAGCUCACUGGUCGAGUCGGCCUGCGCGGAAGAUGUAACGGGGCUAAACCAUGCACCGAAGCUGCGGCAGCGAC
rnacentral:rRNA from 1 species